rnacentral:rRNA from 1 species
UACGGGGGGAGCAAGCGUUGUUCGGAUUUACUGGGCGUAAAGGGCGCGUAGGCGGUCAGCACAAGUCAGUUGUGAAAUCUCCGGGCUUAACUCGGAAAGGUCAACUGAUACUGUGCGACUAGAGUGCAGAAGGGGCAACUGGAAUUCUCGGUGUAGCGGUGAAAUGCGUAGAUAUCUGGAGGAACACCGGUGGCGAAGGCGGCAUCCUGGACCGAUACUGACGCUGAGGAGCGAAAGCCAGGGGAGCAAACGGGG